GACGAACGCUGGCGGCGUGCCUAAUACAUGCAAGUCGAACGAGAGCGACCGGUGCUUGCACUGGUCAAUCUAGUGGCGAACGGGUGAGUAACACGUGGGUAACCUGCCCAUCAGAGGGGGAUAACAUCCGGAAACGGAUGCUAAAACCGCAUAGGUCUUCGAACCGCAUGGUUUGAAGAGGAAAAGAGGCGCAAGCUUCUGCUGAUGGAUGGACCCGCGGUGCAUUAGCUAGUUGGUGAGGUAACGGCUCACCAAGGCCGUGAUGCAUAGCCGACCUGAGAGGGUGAUCGGCCACAUUGGGACUGAGACACGGCCCAAACUCCUACGGGAGGCAGCAGUAGGGAAUCUUCCGCAAUGGACGUAAGUCUGACGGAGCAACGCCGCGUGAGUGAAGAAGGUUUUCGGAUCGUAAAACUCUGUUGUUAGAGAAGAACAAGUGCUAGAGUAACUGUUAGCGCCUUGACGGUAUCUAACCAGAAAGCCACGGCUAACUACGUG
rnacentral:rRNA from 1 species